rnacentral:rRNA from 1 species
AGAGUUUGAUCCUGGCUCAGAACGAACGCUGGCGGCAGGCUUAACACAUGCAAGUUGAACGUGAUUUGCUGGGUGCUUGCACCGAGCAAUGAAAGUAGCGCACUGGUGAGUAACACGUGGGAACGUACCUUUUGGUGGGGAACAACAGUUGGAAACGACUGCUAAUACCGCAUAAGCCCUGAGGGGGAAAGAUUUAUCGCCGAAAGAACGGCCCGCGGAAGAUUAGGUAGUUGGUGGGGUAACGGCCUACCAAGCCGACGAUCUAUAGCUGGUCUGAGAGGACGAUCAGCCACAUUGGAACUGAGACACGGUCCAAACUCCUACGGGAGGCAGCAGUGAGGAAUAUUGGGCAAUGGAGGCAACUCUGACCCAGCCAUGCCGCGUGAGUGAAGAAGGUUUUCGGAUUGUAAAGCUCUUUCGGGUGUGACGAUGAUGACGGUAGCACCUAAAGAAGCCCCGGCUAACUUCGUGCCAGCAGCCGCGGUAAUACGAAGGGGGCAAGCGUUGUUCGGAAUUACUGGGCGUAAAGGGAGUGUAGGCGGUUAUGUAAGAUAGUGGUGAAAUCCCAGAGCUUAACUUUGGAAUUGCCAUUAUGACUAUGUGGCUAGAAUUACAGAGAGGAUAGUGGAAUACCCAGUGUAGAGGUGAAAUUCGUAGAUAUUGGGUAGAACACCAGUGGCGAAGGCGACUAUCUGGCUGUAUAUUGACGCUGAGGCUCGAAAGCAUGGGGAUCAAACAGGAUUAGAUACCCUGGUAGUCCAUGCUGUAAACGAUGAGUGCUUGUUGUCGGUGUAAAAUCGGUGACGAAGUUAACGCGUUAAGCACUCCGCCUGGGGAGUACGGUCGCAAGAUUAAAACUCAAAGGAAUUGACGGGGACCC